GACGAACGCUGGCGGCGUGCUUAACACAUGCAAGUCGAACGGAAAGGCCCUGCUUUUGUGGGGUGCUCGAGUGGCGAACGGGUGAGUAACACGUGAGUAACCUGCCCUUGACUUUGGGAUAACUUCAGGAAACUGGGGCUAAUACCGGAUAGGAGCUCCUGCUGCAUGGUGGGGGUUGGAAAGUUUCGGCGGUUGGGGAUGGACUCGCGGCUUAUCAGCUUGUUGGUGGGGUAGUGGCUUACCAAGGCUUUGACGGGUAGCCGGCCUGGGAGGGUGACCGGCCACAUUGGGACUGAGAUACGGCCCAGUCUCCUACGGGAGGCAGCAGUGGGGAAUAUUGCACAAUGGGCGGAAGCCUGAUGCAGCAACGCCGCGUGCGGGAUGACGGCCUUCGGGUUGUAAACCGCUUUCGCCUGUGACGAAGCGUGAGUGACGGUAAUGGGUAAAGAAGCACCGGCUAACUACGUG
rnacentral:rRNA from 1 species